UUUGUAGCUCAGCUGGAUAGAGCAACCGCCUUCUAAGCGGUAGGUCGAAGGUUCGAGUCCCUCCAAG
rnacentral:tRNA from 1 species